rnacentral:rRNA from 1 species
AGAGCGAACGCUGGCGGCAGGCCUAACACAUGCAAGUCGAGCGCCCGUAGCAAUACGGGAGCGGCAGACGGGAUAGUAACACGUGGGAACGCGCCCUUCGGUUCGGAAUAACUCAGGGAAACUUGAGCUAAUACCGAAUACGCCCUUACGGGGAAAGAUUUAUUGCCGAAGGAACGGCCCGCGUCCGAUUAGCUAGUUGGUGAGGUAAUGGCUCACCAAGGCUACGAUCGGUAGCUGGUCUGAGAGGAUGACCAGCAUCACUGGGACUGAGACACGGCCCAGACUCCUACGGGAGGCAGCAGUGGGGAAUAUUGGACAAUGGGCGAAAGCCUGAUCCAGCCAUGCCGCGUGGAUGAUGAAGGCCUUAGGGUUGUAAAGCUCUUUUGUGCGGGAAGAUAAUGACGGUACCGCAAGAAUAAGCCCCGGCUAACUUCGUGCCAGCAGCCGC